GCCGGGGAAGAUCGGUUGCACGAAGGAAGAUAUUUGUACAAGCCACGCACUGCAGUUACUGGCCUACGAUUAAUGGCAGAUACGGAUUUCAGAGGUGGUCCCAGCUGUAAAUUCAACUGCACAAGGUUUUUGGGACAUUCAGAACAAGUCGAUGAAUCCGGAUGCUUCAGUUUAAAUUUUGUGUCGUUUUCUAAUUGGGACUGGUUGAUUUCGAGAAAAAAUAUUGAUUCAAGGAUGGAAGGGAUUUUAAACAGAAUCCGGCUCUGACGAGAGCUGCUCACUUGAACGGAGGAAGGAGUAAUAUUGGCAAAGUUCAUGUUAACACUUUAGUUUGUCUCGUCGUGAAUCUGAUUUUACGUCUAGUGCAAGUGCAAAUGGUACGCAAUGCAGCUGCGAAGAUUACACUGCAGCACAGUCAUGCAUCAAGGAGGAGAUUCGCGUGCUUCAAACAGCUUCGCUUUUGCAUCGAUUUACCAAUCAGAGCGAUGCUCUCUCUUUGAUACAUCGCUUACUCCUUCAAAACCGUCGUCUAUGGCAGGGAAAUCCGGUAUGCCAAAGAUUUUUAGCAGCCAAAUAGGACACUGCUCGCUACUAAUCAAAAUUUCAAUCAUAUAUAAUUGAAAAUACGUGGCUUGAUACAUUCAAAUCGAAACAUAGAAAUAUUUCCUAUCAAAUGAUGAAAUAAUAUUAAUAAUUGAUACAAAAUAGACUGAGCUGUAAGUGUUUAAAACCUGACCACAUUUCUACGUGUAGUUUUUCUUGAGUUUCUGAUUUGCACCCCUAUAUAGAAAAUAAAGAUG